rnacentral:misc_RNA from 1 species
CUCCUUUUUGAAGACCCCCCCCCAUUCGAGUAGGAGAAGGGGAGAACAUGGUCAUUCGGGACGUCUCUCAGUUCAUGAACGUUUGGGCCCAAGAGAUGAGAACAUGCAGCAGCGGAACAUUAGCUCGGAGGUGGCAGUUUCAGAUUUAAGAACUUUGGAAUCUGAUGGGGGGACCUUGUCUCCUAGGCUGUUAGAGAUGACUGAUGACAGGGUUCUUGUUUCACCGGUGAAGGCGAAGCAGCUGAAAGUUUACUUUCGUCAAAGAUUCAAGAAUGUCCUGAACCUGGAGGAAGCUGGAGCUCCCAAUUCUGUCACUGUGCUUCCUCCAUCCCCCACAGACGUGGCAGCUGCUGACACGGCUCCAUCUGAGUAUCCUGUUUCAGAUGUUGACGCUGUGUUGGCAACUCCGUCUGGAACGUUACCUUCCUCCCUGUCAGAUGUGGCAGCAGCACACGCGGCUCCGUCGGAGGCUAGUGCCUUAGACGUUGAUGCUGAGUUGGCUGCUCCAUCUGAGGAGGACAUUCCAGCAACAACACAUGCUGAGUUGGUUGCUCCAUCUAAGGACCCUCCAGCAACAACACAAGAUUCUGUGGAGAUUUGUGCUCAAGAGCAAUUCAUCAGCAGAUUGUCAAACCAGAUCACACGCGUAUUACCAAUCCCAAAAUCUGUCAGACGUCAGUCCUCUACCCCCCUGGCAGUUCCAAGGCGCAGCCGACGUGUGGCAGGGGUUGGGGUUGAAUUUAAAAUUCAGGAUUGGGGAAAAAGGUAUAAGAAACAAGCUAUGGUGGCUCUUAAUAUUAUUGAGGACAAUGAAGGAUUCAGCCGUCAAGCUUUAGACGACUACGCCAAGCUCUUCAAGAAUACUCUUUCUCGUAGUCAUGUGCAGGCUCUUGCUGCCCUUUUUGGGUGGUCUGUCCCAGAUAAUUUAGAAUAUAUCAAUGGGACUGGGGAUAUUA